ensembl:lncRNA
AUGAUUACUGUUUCGCUUUAUUCUUUAACAAUAGAGUAUUAUAAAUAUCUGACUGAUCUUGACAUAUACCCCAGCAAAGGGAUUCAAUGUUUUAGGCAUUUACUUUUCCGUAAUCACUUGGUGGGGCAUGAUAUUGUCGAGGGUGAUGACUAUUGAGUUAGAUUCAUGCCAAAACCCCGCACAAACGCAAAACGUGUUUUGCUCACGCAUAACGAUUCGUGAAUGAAUCUAACUCCAUCGAUGACACCUGGCCAAAGGUACUCCGAACGUCCACAACCGGAGCCUAUACCUGGUAAGGCAACGUUGAGCAGCAUGCCUACCCCUACCUGCUCAAUGCCAAUAGCUUUGGAUAAGGUCUGCCAAAAACAACUCCACUUAUUGGAUAUGAUAUAUAAUGCAGCAGUAUAUUAAGCCUGUAACGUAACGUUAACAUCGUAAGAGACGAGAAAUUAUAUUUUGAGCGGUUUUCCUUUCUUCCGGUGGUCUACCGUCGUUCUUGUCUCGAACUUGCUAACAGCCAAUCACAUCAAGUACGUUCUCAUUAGCGCUCAAGUAAGUUCACCUGGGUCACGCACUUCUGUAUUUAGACCGACAUGUGCUGUUCUUUUUGUUGCGUCGGACUGCGAAUCACGAAAAACCGCAGACAUGAACGAUAACGAGAAUCUGUCAGCCUGUGAGUCCAGGGUGACUAUGGAGAGGGACGAGACCUCCACCUCCUCAUCAAGGCCUUCUCGAGGGACAGACAAGGUUGGCGAAGAAAAUAUAAGGGUGCUGUAUAAGCGCAACCUGGAGUUGGAUAAUGUUAAAAUAAAAUUGCAGAUAAAAAAACUCAAGCUGGAGAUUCAGCUCCUCGAGAGGCAACUGCACAGCGAUGGAUAAUGAAUGAAUUCAAUAAAGAUGAACAAAUGUAUUUCCGUCCAUUGUAUUUUUUAUUGAACAAAAGUCCAACAAAGCUGCAACAUAUUAUAUUAUCCUUGGUUGUGUCUAAAGAGUACCACCUAGAACAGUUCUGCAUUGUCUACACUUGAGAUCAAUAUUUAGUUUUUCUUUUAUCAAACAUAUUGGUAGAUGUUAUUUUCUUUACCUUGACAUGUUUCGACAGAUGUACAUCCGUCUUCAUCAGAAGGUCACACGGGUGUAUUAGUGUGUCGCGUUCUGCAUCUGUUUGAGGUGGUUUGGUCCCAUACCAUGGAAGC